GAUGAACGCUAGCUACAGGCUUAACACAUGCAAGUCGAGGGGAAACGAUAUUGGAAGCUUGCUUCCGAUAGGCGUCGACCGGCGCACGGGUGAGUAACGCGUAUCCAACCUGCCCACCACUUGGGGAUAACCUUGCGAAAGUAAGACUAAUACCCAAUGAUAUCUCUAGAAGACAUCUGAAAGAGAUUAAAGAUUUAUCGGUGAUGGAUGGGGAUGCGUCUGAUUAGCUUGUUGGCGGGGCAACGGCCCACCAAGGCGACGAUGCGUAGGGGUUCUGAGAGGAAGGUCCCCCACACUGGUACUGAGACACGGACCAGACUCCUACGGGAGGCAGCAGUGAGGAAUAUUGGUCAAUGGGCGCAGGCCUGAACCAGCCAAGUCGCGUGAGGGAGGACGGUCCUACGGAUUGUAAACCUCUUUUGUCGGGAGUAACGUGCGGGACGCGUCCCGUAUUGAGAGUACCCGAAGAAAAAGCAUCGGCUAACUCCGUG
rnacentral:rRNA from 1 species